CUCCUGCAAGCAACAGACAACACAGUCUCCACAGGUAAUUAACAAUUGAUGAUAGGGUUCCUGAUAACCUCCCCGUCCUUCCCUGAUGCUUAGCCCAUUGCAUAUUUCUGGGUCCAGCUCCUUGCAGUGGCCUCAUACUUGGCUCUGUCUGUCUUGUACAUAUGGGCAAUCUCUGGAACCAACGGGUCAUCAGGGUUUGGGUCUGUUAAAAGGGAGCAGAUAGACAACAGUACCUGUCGAAGCACACAUUACGGCUUGCUUAAGCUCAAACAAAAUAUUUUUCAAAUGAUUGACAAGAUAGGAAAGAAAAAGAAAAAGGAUAUUCACAAGCUCUUGAUGGAACCAUAGACACAGUUACUUUGUUUGGACCGACCAACACGGGUUGUACCUGACAUCUCCUACUUGCAGGUUAGCACUUAGUAGUGCCCCUUGAUUUGACCAAACCAGGCUCUUGGAUUUGCUUAAAUUGCUCAUUUCUCUGAGCUUUUCUUAACAGGACUACUAGCAGUUAUAACUCUAAUGAAUUGAGGAUGCUGAGGUUCCAACUUAGUAAAUGACAUUGCAAAGCGAGGGAGAACAGUAACCUUGGAAAUAGUUAAUGCUGGACUCCAUUGCUCCUUCAAAAUGUCAAGGCAGAUGCUUCCAUUGCUAUUGAUGUUUGGAUGGAAAACCUUGGUCCUGAAAGAAACCUGCAGAACACAUAAGUUAGACAAAUGGCAUAGUUGACUGCUGAAACUUGUCCAGUGACAAAUACAACCAAUUGUAACAAAAUAUGGUUAUUCAAGUUAGUGAGAUGUUCUUCAAGAUAAAAUAACGGCAUUAUAGGCAAAACACAUCUUAAGCCCACAUUUGGUAUGAUAAUAGAUUUGUAUUCUUUUGAUCCUUAGUUGUAUUUCUCCGCCGGUCACAGUCAAGUGAUGGUUCCUCGUCAUGUUCUGUCAUCAUCUAUGGCUGUGUAACCUAUCCGAUAAUCAAGAUUUAUCCUGAUUUAUUGGUAUUACAUCC
rnacentral:lncRNA from 1 species